GCCAGUAUGGCAUCAUGGUUUGAGUGUUGGACUACAACUCUGGAAACCAGGGUUCGAUUCCCAGCUCAGUCA